rnacentral:rRNA from 1 species
UACGGAGGAUCCAAGCGUUAUCCGGAAUCAUUGGGUUUAAAGGGUCCGUAGGCGGUUUUGUAAGUCAGUGGCGAAAGCCCAUCGCUCAACGGUGGAACGGCCAUUGAUACUGCAAGACUUGAAUUACUAGGAAGUAACUAGAAUAUGUAGUGUAGCGGUGAAAUGCUUAGAUAUUACAUGGAAUACCAAUUGCGAAGGCAGGUUACUACUAGUGGAUUGACGCUGAUGGACGAAAGCGUGGGGAGCGAACAGG